rnacentral:rRNA from 1 species
ACGUAGGGUGCAAGCGUUGUCCGGAAUUAUUGGGCGUAAAGAGCUCGUAGGCGGUCUGUCACGUCGGAUGUGAAAACUCGGGGCUCAACCCCGAGCCUGCAUACGAUACGGGCAGACUUGAGUUCGGCAGGGGAGACUGGAAUUCCUGGUGUAGCGGUGAAAUGCGCAGAUAUCAGGAGGAACACCGGUGGCGAAGGUGGGUCUCUAGUACGGUACUGACGCUGAGACGCGAAAGCGUGGGGAGCGAACAGGA